UACGUAGGUGGCAAGCGUUGUCCGGAUUUACUGGGCGUAAAGAGCGCGCAGGCGGUCGUUCAAGUCGCGUGUGAAAGCCCCCCGGCUCAACUGGGGAGGGUCACGCGAUACUGAUCGACUCGAAGGCAGGAGAGGGAAGUGGAAUUCCCGGUGUAGUUGUGAAAUGCGUAGAUAUCGGGAGGAACACCAGUGGCGAAGGCGACUUCCUGGCCUGUUCUUGACGCUGAGGCGCGAAAAGCUAGGGGAGCAAACGGG
rnacentral:rRNA from 1 species